GUGUGUGUGUGUGUGUGUGUGUGUGUGUGUGUGUGUCUCAUCUUUCUGGCCGAAAGUUUAUUUGCGAUAGACUUUUUGUUGUGGCCAUCUGUUACUCAGCAUCUCUGCUAUAUGAUUAAAACUGCAUGCCUGACAGAAGAUCAAAGCCCGUUCUACAGAGAAUGCACUAAUCAACUAAACUAUUUUGGCAUGACUAAUGAGACAGCUUCAUUACCGAAUACGUUGCAAACUGAAAUCUGAUCUGAAGUUGUAGCUGUAUAACUCAGUUGGUAAAAGUUUUACCAGAGAAAGAGACGGUGGGGGUUGGGGGACAACAAGUUACAGCUGUACACCCAGUUCCAAACUACCACUGGAACAUGCACUACGGGGCCAGGCUGGAACAGCCUAACGAAGAAGUUUGAAGAACUAAAUUGUGAAAGUGAAGUACACGAUUUUUGUGAUGAAAGUGAUUCUGAAGCUGAUACUCCUACAGCAGUUGUGGAUAAUUGUAAAACUGAUCUGUCUACAGAAACUUCAGACAGCGAUGAAGAAAAUACAAUUGUCCAUGGCAAGAAUGGUGAUUGUUGUUACACAGCUGUCCCUAAUAGUUCCAAGUCUGCCAGCUGCUGAUAACUUGUAGCCCAUAUUCCAAGAGUGUGGAAACAAUAAACGAACGGAUUUAUGAAUAACUGAGAACACUUCAAAAUAUUCAUGUAAUAUGUGCAUUUCAUUAAAUGACUAGUAUCUUCAGCUAAUUAAAC